UACGUAGGGGGCGAGCGUUAUCCGGAUUUACUGGGUGUAAAGGGAGCGUAGACGGCCAGACAAGUCUGAAGUGAAAAUCCAGCGCUUAACGCUGGAAGUGCUUUGGAAACUGCCGGGCUGGAGUGCAGGAGGGGCAGGCGGAAUUCCUAGUGUAGCGGUGAAAUGCGUAGAUAUUAGGAGGAACACCAGUGGCGAAGGCGGCCUGCUGGACUGCAACUGACGUUGAGGCUCGAAGGCGUGGGGAGCAAACAGG
rnacentral:rRNA from 1 species